UUCCUUAUUCACUCCAGCGAUGAGGAUGCCCUCUUCUCUCCAUUGACGAUACGACGCCCUCUCUUUCUCCUCUUCCUUCUUCGCUCAAUCAACGAUGACGACACCCGCUCUCUCUCAUCUUCCUUAUUUGCUCCAUCGACAACGACACCCUCUCUCUCAUCUUCCUUCUUUUCAUACGAAUCUCUAUUUUUCAUCUGGUGAGGUUGGCUCCUAUCAUUCAUCUUUGUUAUUGGUGGCUUCUAGACCUCCAACCCUUGGUGUUCUUAGUUGAGGGAUUGGUCUGGAAGGUCUUUCUAGUGUCUUGGCUGGUCUAUGGGGUAUUGGAACAGGCUCCACAAGUUUAACUGAAAAUGUGCGCAGACUAGCUGCCACUAAGAUGGGAAAUCGUAGAGCUGUUGAAUUGGGCGUAUGCGUUUUGAUUGUCUUAUCCCUUGUCGGUGAAUAAAGGGCAACGGAGUUGGCCCCCUACAGGCGGUGGUGGGCGGCGGCAGGGGCCGG